rnacentral:rRNA from 1 species
CCUACGGGUGGCAGCAGUGGGGGAUAUUGCUCAAUGGGGGGAACCCUGAUGCAGCGACGUCGCGUGGGUGAAGAAGCGCCUCGGCGCGUAAAGCCCUGUCAGCAGGGAAGAAAAUGACGGUACCUGAAGAAUAAGCACCGGCUAACUCCGUGCCAGCAGCCGCGGUAAAACGGGGGGGGCAAGCGUUAUCCGGAAUUACUGGGUGUAAAGGGGGCGCAGGCGGCGGGGUAAGCCAGGAGUGAAAACCUGGGGCCCAACCCCCGGACUGCGUUUGGAAAUGCGUGGCUGGAGUGCAGGAGGGGCAGGCGGAAUUCCUGGUGUAGCGGUGAAAUGCGUAGAUAUCAGGAGGAACACCGGUGGCGAAGGCGGCCUGCUGGACUACAACUGACGUUGAGGCCCGAAAGCGUGGGGAGCAAACAGGAUUAGAUACCCCGGUAGUC